UUCCUGCUCCUUACCUCCUACGCGACUGCCGGGAAUCUUUGCCACCCUGCCAGCAUGUCUCAGGCUGAGUUUGAAAAGCCGCAGAGGAGGUUAAGCACCUCAAGACCAAGCCUGCAGAUGAUGAGAUGCUUUUUAUCUACAACCACUACAAACAAGCAACUGUAGGAGAUGUGAAUACAGAACGGCCUGGGAUGUUGGACUUCAAAGGCAAGGCCAAGUGGGAUGCCUGGAAUGAGCUGAAAGGGACUACCAAGGAAGAUGCCAUGAAAGCUUACAUCAACAAAGUUGAAGAGCUAAAGAAAAAAUAAUGGAAUAUAGAGACUGGAUUUGGUUGCCAGCCAUAUGAUUAACCUAAACUGAUACAAUGCCUUGUUUUUUUCUAAUACUGUGGAUGAUGUGAAAUAACCAGUUAACCCAGUUCCUCAGGGCUGUGGAGGAUACAGGUCUAACAGAUUAGGGGCUAAAAUGAUUACUGACCUUCUUUUAGUAGUUUUCAUCAGAGAUAAAUUAAAAGUGUGUUUGUUACUUAAAAAAAAAAA